rnacentral:lncRNA from 1 species
AUGCUUCAUUCUGCUCUCAGCAGUGAGAGAGGAUUCCAUCUUCUUUCUUUUCUCACCUCAACCAUCCCGGCAAGGGGUUUAGGGGUCAAGAAGAAACAGCAGAUUGCUGUAGCAAAGAAAUCACACACUGUCAUUUUUUGGGAAAGCAAAUGGUUUUAUUUUGAAAAUUAUUUAAUUUUAUAAAGAGACAUUUCCUGUCUAAAGAAAGAAAUGAAGAAAAAGUAUUUUGAAAAUAUCAUGAGAGCUCUCUUAGUGUUUUGAAGGGUUGAACUCUAAUCCAUUUCACUGGAUAGAAUUUGAGGGGAAGAAAAAAAAGGAUAAAGCAGGAGACUCAAGGAAGAAAAUAAAAUGGUCUAGAACAACUGAAUAAAGGAAAAGAGGAGGUGGCAACUUCUGUAAACACAAAGAGGAAACAAGAGAGAUGAGUAAGAAUUGAGGGUAGAGUGUGGGUGAUGGCAAAGACAAUAUUCACUUCAUCUCUGAUGUACAGUCACCCCAGAGCUUCUGGGGAACAAUGGAGAAGGGCCAUCGGAGGAUGUUCAUUGUCAAACCUGGUAAGGAGAGGGGAGGAGAUAGCUUCCAGAGGGAAAGUGUGGCUCAUGAGCCAAGACUAGGCCACUGAAAUUCCGUUUCCUGAGCUGAACUCUUGCAACUGGGUUGGAACUGGGCUUUGUUGUUAUUUUCUUUUCUUUUAGUUUGGGGCCAUAUCCUACAAGUGGCAAUAUAGGAAAGUAAAAUAUCUCAAUUGUAGGGUAUAAAUAAAAGCACACUGAUACUAAUUAUCGAAGUUAGGUGAAGAUACUGGCUCUAUCUUCUAGCAAAGAGAAUUUUGCCUCUAGAUAGAUAGAUAGAUAAAAUGAAGCAAAGGAAGUCAGGCAAGGAAAAAGGAUGAAAGAUGAAGCUUCAUGACCUAUUGGAAAAAGAGGAAACAGGAACUGGCAGGAAGGAAAGUACAAAUAUCUCCUCUGUCUUGUGUUUCUAGAUCUUGUGUUCUAUAAAGUCACAGGCCACUUCUGUGGGGUUGAUUCCCUAUGCACAUUUAGAUGAAGAAAUAAGCAAACAAAAACUAACUUCCCUUCAUUCAUAUAAUGUCUUGAUGCCUCUGAGUUUUCAUGCAUUGUUUCCUCUGCUCAUAAAUACCUUUGCCUUGCUGGUCAAAUCCCAUUCAUAAAAUCCUGCUCAGGCUUGAUUUUCUCUCUGAAGCCUUUCACAAAUAUUUAUCUCAAAACAACAUUGCUUUCAAUUAAUAAAAAUCCAAUUUCAGAAAAAAUUCUCUGAGUAUGCAAACUUAAAAUCAUUGACCCAGAAGGCCUUAAUGGUCUCAUCAGCUUGAUUAAAUUUAAGACUUGAUUUCUUCCAGACUCCAGGUCCCUGACCUCCCUUUUCUUAGAGC